rnacentral:rRNA from 1 species
GAGUUUGAUCCUGGCUCAGGACGAACGCUGGCGGCGUGCUUAACACAUGCAAGUCGAACGAUGAAGCCCAGCUUGCUGGGUGGAAGAGUGGCGAACGGGUGAGUAACACGUGAGUAACCUGCCCCUUACUCUGGGAUAAGCGCUGGAAACGGUGUCUAAUACUGGAUAUGACUCAUACCGGCAUCGGUUGUGAGUGGAAAGAUUUAUCGGUAAGGGAAGGGCUCGCGGCCUAUCAGGUUGUUGGUGAGGUAACGGCUCACCAAGCCUACGACGGGUAGCCGGCCUGAGAGGGUGACCGGCCACACUGGGACUGAGACACGGCCCAGACUCCUACGGGAGGCAGCAGUGGGGAAUAUUGCACAAUGGGCGCAAGCCUGAUGCAGCGACGCCGCGUGAGGGAUGACGGCCUUCGGGUUGUAAACCUCUUUCAGUAGGGAAGAAGCGAAAGUGACGGUACCUGCAGAAGAAGCGCCGGCUAACUACGUGCCAGCAGCCGCGGUAA